AUUGAACGCUGGCGGAAUGCUUUACACAUGCAAGUCGAACGGCAGCACGAGGGCAACCUUGGUGGCGAGUGGCGAACGGGUGAGUAAUACAUCGGAACGUGCCCAGUCGUGGGGGAUAACGUAGCGAAAGCUACGCUAAUACCGCAUACGAUCUAUGGAUGAAAGCGGGGGACCGUAAGGCCUCGCGCGAUUGGAGCGGCCGAUGGCAGAUUAGGUAGUUGGUGGGGUAAAGGCUCACCAAGCCUGCGAUCUGUAGCUGGUCUGAGAGGACGACCAGCCACACUGGAACUGAGACACGGUCCAGACUCCUACGGGAGGCAGCAGUGGGGAAUUUUGGACAAUGGGCGCAAGCCUGAUCCAGCCAUUCCGCGUGCAGGAUGAAGGCCUCGGUUGUAACUAGCUUUGUUACGGUACGAAAGGUUUACCG
rnacentral:rRNA from 1 species